rnacentral:tRNA from 1 species
UGUUAUAUAGUUUAAGAAAAAACAUUAAUUUUGUAAAUUAAAAAUUUAUAAUAAUAAUAAUAUAACUA